ACAAUUAGGGGAGAUACCGUGAUCAAGAAGGCGGUUCACCCAAGGCGAGGCUCAGCCAUUGCACUUCGGCUGUGCUGACCCCUGCGAAUUCCCCAAAUGUGGGAAUCUCGACUGCAUAAUUUCUGGUAGUGGGGGACUGCGUUCGCGCUCUCCCCUG
ensembl:snRNA U1 U1 spliceosomal RNA